UCUGGGGAGGGGUUCCCUCAGCCCGGAUUGUGAGAGGGUGCAGGCCAGGCUGAGGGACCCCACCGAUACACG
rfam:Myotis lucifugus cont2.10041, whole genome shotgun sequence.